rnacentral:rRNA from 1 species
CUCGUAGGCGGCCAACUAAGUCAGACGUGAAAUCCCUCAGCUUAACUGGGGAACUGCGUCUGAUACUGGAUGGCUUGGAUUCGGGAGAGGAAUGCGGAAUUCCAGGUGUAGCGGUGAAAUGCGUAGAUAUCUGGAGGAACACCGGUGGCGAAGGCGGCAUUCUGGACCGAUAUUGACGCUGAGGAGCGAAAGCCAGGGAGCGAAAC